rnacentral:rRNA from 1 species
AGCAUUAUACAGCGAAACUGCGAAUGGCUCAUUAUAUAAGUUAUCGUUUAUUUGAUAGUACCUUACUACAUGGAUAACCGUGGUAAUUCUAGAGCUAAUACAUGCUAAAAAUCCCGACUUCGGAAGGGAUGUAUUUAUUAGAUUAAAAACCAAUGCCCUCUGGGCUCUUUGGUGAUUCAUGAUAACUUCUCGAAUCGCAUGGCCUUGCGCCGGCGAUGGUUCAUUCAAAUUUCUUCCCUAUCAACUUUCGAUGUUUGGGUAUUGGCCAAACAUGGUCGCAACGGGUAACGGAGGGUUAGGGCUCGACCCCGGAGAAGGAGCCUGAGAAACGGCUACUACAUCCAAGGAAGGCAGCAGGCGCGCAAAUUACCCAAUCCCGACACGGGGAGGUAGUGACAAUAAAUACUGAUACAGGGCUCUUUUGGGUCUUGUAAUUGGAAUGAGUACAAUUUAAAUCCCUUAACGAGGAACAAUUGGAGGGCAAGUCUGGUGCCAGCAGCCGCGGUAAUUCCAGCUCCAAUAGCGUAUAUUAAAGUUGUUGUGGUUAAAAAGCUCGUAGUUGAACCUUGGGCCUGGCUGGCCGGUCCGCCUCACCGCGUGUACUGGUCCGGCCGGGCCUUUCCCUCUGUGGAACCCCAUGCCCUUCACUGGGUGUGGCGGGGAAACAGGACUUUUACUUUGAAAAAAUUAGAGUGCUCCAGGCAGGCCUAUGCUCGAAUACAUUAGCAUGGAAUAAUGAAAUAGGACGUGUGGUUCUAUUUUGUUGGUUUCUAGGACCGCCGUAAUGAUUAAUAGGGACAGUCGGGGGCAUCAGUAUUCAAUUGUCAGAGGUGAAAUUCUUGGAUUUAUUGAAGACUAACUACUGCGAAAGCAUUUGCCAAGGAUGUUUUCAUUAAUCAGGAACGAAAGUUAGGGGAUCGAAGACGAUCAGAUACCGUCGUAGUCUUAACCAUAAACUAUGCCGACUAGGGAUCGGACGAUGUUAUUUUUUGACGCGUUCGGCACCUUACGAGAAAUCAAAGUGC